UGUAACUUUCACUACAGAUUCACAAUCCAAAAAUCCAUUGAUAUCAGUGGAGAGACUCCCAUUGUAAGCCCCACCCCAGUCUAGAACCCAGGCCUGCCAGAAAGCUGGCAUCUCCAUGCCACCUCCCAGCAGCAGCUGUAACAAGCUUGUGCUCCACUGCUUAUGACCCACUGGGGACACAGACUAUGGGAAAUCCCACCUCAAGGGGUUUGACAGGCAGCAGCCAUAUGGCUCCCCAUCCUACAUAAACGUAAGGGGUGUUCCAGGAAAUAUCCAGGCAACAGUGCAGACUUCCUGUAGCUGCCAUAACCAUUUCUACUCUUGAACUCCUGGCUUUGACCUUGGCUUGAUUUGAACUUCACCUCCUGCCCUGGAUCCUGGAACCUGACUCACUCUGACCCUUGGCAUCAACCCUGUCUUGGAACCUGACUAUGAACUCCACUGCUACUUCCGGCCUUAGGGUUGACCCUGCUCUGAUCCUUGGUCCCAACUGUCCUUGUUAGAAUCCUGACACCCAUUGAUUUCAAGGAGUUUUGGAUUAGGUGCCAAGUGCCUAAAUUUUUUUUUUUUUUGCAUGUGUGUGUGAAAAAGGAGGCUAGUUCUGGACAGGUCAAUAUAUCACUGGUCACAAGAUCUCAAAUGGAAGAAAUCCAGUUGGACGCUGCAGGGUGAUAACAGUUGAUAUAUACCAGCAAUGACACUAAGUCCUGGGCUAAGAGUGGAAGAAUUGUGUGAUCUCCCCCUGGACAGGCAAGGGCAAGAGGCCUGACACCUGAGGGAGUGCGCUAUACCACAGCCGUGUGUGAUCUUGGACCUGUCACUUCACCCUUCUAGGCCUCGUCUGUGAAAUUGGAACAAUAAGAGAGGGAUGUUGUGAGGAUUUACUCACUGAUAUUUGUAAGAUCAAUUACAUGGAAUAAAGUAUGUAUGGGAACGUGAUGACAAUAGCUAAUGAUGCAAAACUGGAGGCUUUCAUUCAAUACAAAAGAGAAUUACAAUCAAAUUCAGAAUGAUGCAGAUAAGGUGGGAGUAUGGGAAGAUUAGUGCAAUGUAGACAAAUGCAGAGCAACAAGGCAAGAGACAAAAAAAAGACGUACAUCAUCAAACAUUGAGCAAGAAAGGGAUCUGGAGUUCUCAUGGAUAAACGUUCUCAGUCUUCAUUGAAUUAACUGGUAGCAGCAAAAAAAACAAACAGAAUUCUGG